GAUGUGCAAGUGAAGCUUUAGAGUAUGUGGAGGAAGAUAAAGUUUAUAUCCUAGGAGGUUUAGUGGAUGAAACCAUACAAAAGAAAAUAAGCUACACGAGGGCGAAAGAGCUCGGCAUUCGCACGGCGCGGCUGCCGAUUGAUGAGUACAUGGUGAAGUGGCCAAACCCCAAAAACUUCCACUCCAAAAAUCCUAGCCAUCAACUAAGGUGAUCACUUUCUCUGACUCAGCUUUUACAUACUGCAGUCAUAAUCCUCCUCAUCCUAUGUUGAAACUGAGUGUAUAAUUUGCUGAUGUGUUUCAGUGUUUGAAAUCCUUCUGACAUUUCGGGACACUAAAGAUAGGACUAAAGCGCUUGCUGCUGGUAUCCCUCCUGGAAAAGGUUACAUGGUGGCGUCAGCAGCAUCUACAGACAUAAUAAACCCUUCAGAAGAGCUUUAGACACUCGCGGACUUUGGCUUCAUAGUGUUUAUAAGGCCUUGAGCCUGUAAUAGUGUUAUGAACUCAUCUAUAAUGG